rnacentral:rRNA from 1 species
AUUGAACGCUGGCGGCAGGCCUAACACAUGCAAGUCGAGCGGAUGACGGGAGCUUGCUCCUUGAUUCAGCGGCGGACGGGUGAGUAAUGCCUAGGAAUCUGCCUGGUAGUGGGGGACAACGAUCCGAAAGGAACGCUAAUACCGCAUACGUCCUACGGGAGAAAGCAGGAGACCUUCGGGCCUGGCGCUAUCAGAUGCGCCGGGGUCGGAUUAGCUAGUUGGUGGGGUAAUGGCUCACCAAGUCGACUAUCCGUAACUGGUCUGAGAGGAUGAUCAGUCAACCUGGAACUGGGACACGGUCCAGACUCCUACGGGAGGCAGCAGUGGGGAAUAUUGGACAAUGGGCGAAAGCCUGAUCCAGCCAUGCCGCGUGUGUGAAGAAGGUCUUCGGAUUGUAAAGCACUUUAAGUUGGGAGGAAGGGCAGUAAGUUAAUACCUUGCUGUUUUGACGUUACCGGCAGAAUAAGCACCGGCUAACUCUGUGCCAGCCGCCGCCGUAA